AGCGAACGCUGGCGGCAGGCCUAACACAUGCAAGUCGAACGAACCUUUCGGGGUUAGUGGCGGACGGGUGAGUAACACGUGGGAACGUGCCCUUAGGUUCGGAAUAACUCAGGGAAACUUGUGCUAAUACCGAAUGUGCCCUUCGGGCGAAAGAUUUAUCGCCUUUAGAGGGGCCCGCGUCUGAUUAGCUAGUUGGUUGAGGUAAUGGCUCACCAAGGCGACGAUCAGUAGCUGGUCUGAGAGGAUGAUCAGCCACACUGGGACUGAGACACGGCCCAGACUCCUACGGGAAGCAGCAGUGGGGAAUCUUGCACAAUGGGCGAAAGCCUGACGCAGCCAUGCCGCGUGAAUGAUGAAGGUCUUAGGGUUGUAAAGUUCUUUCACCGGGGACGAUAAUGACGGUACCCGGAGAAGAAGCCCCGGCUAACUUCGUG
rnacentral:rRNA from 1 species